GAUCAGCAGGCUGCUUCCAUGAGGUGACUUCUGCCCAGUGCUCUGGUUGUCAAUGCCAAGAGAUUGAGCCAAGCGCGGGUAAACGGCGGGAGUAACUAUGACUCUCUUAAGGUAGCCAAAUGCCUCGUCAACCAAUUAUUGACGCGCAUGAAUGGAUCAACGAGAUUCCUGCUGUCCCUAGUUGCUAUCUGGUGAACCAACAGCCAAGGGAACGGGCUUGGAUGUGUCAGCGGGGAAAGAAGACCCUGUUGAGUUUGACUCUAGCUUGCUGCUGUGCAACGACAUGUGGGGUGUAGCACAGGUGGGAGGCCAGUGCCAUCCAACGGAUUCUUGAUGUCGGCUCUUCUUCUGGACAACAACACUACUCAGGGAUAACUGAUGCGAGUCUAUGGACCAAAAACCCCGAUGGGGUCAGUGAGUGCGAAUGGUGCGAACCAGCAGUGAAAUACCACUACCUUCACCGUCGUUUUGCUCAGUGAGUGGCUGGGAACUGGUAGCCAUUGGACAUCAACCGCUGCAUGCUUGUGGUGGUUGUGGCUUCAACCCACUUCGUGUGCCAAGCACGGUCACUCCGGUGGCCGUGUGAUCCUGUGGAGUGCUGACCACACUCCGUCCAUGCGCUUGGAGCCUCGGGACAAUGAGCAGCUGGGGAGUUUGGCUGGGGCGGCACGCCUGUUACAUCACAACGCCGGCGUCCUGAAGCAAUGCUCAGAUGGAACAGAAAUCUCUCAUGGAUGAGAAGGCAAAAGGUGCUGCUGAUGUGGUGACUUCCAGUGCAAGUCCAGAACAUGCAAGUGUGGCUUAGCGAUCCUUUGGCAAAGUUCACGGGUUCCUGACAUUGAAGCCAGAGGUGUCAGAAAAAUUACCACAGGGAUAACUGGCUUGUGGCUGCCAAGCGUUCAAAGCGACGUGGCUUUUUGAUCCUUCGAUGUCGGCUCUUCCUAGCUUUGCACCCGCAGCUGAGUCAAAGAGUUGGAUUGUUCACCCACCAACAGGGAACGUGAGCUGG
rnacentral:rRNA from 1 species